GAUGAACGCUAGCGGGAGGCCUAACACAUGCAAGCCGAGCGGUAGAGUUUCUUCGGAAACUUGAGAGCGGCGCACGGGUGCGUAACACGUGUGCAACCUACCUUUAUCUGGGGGAUAGCCUUUCGAAAGGAAGAUUAAUACCCCAUAAUAUAAUGAUUGGCAUCAAUUAUUAUUGAAAACUCCGGUGGAUAGAGAUGGGCACGCGCAAGAUUAGAUAGUUGGAGAGGUAACGGCUCACCAAGUCAAUGAUCUUUAGGGGUCCUGAGAGGGAGAUCCCCCACACUGGUACUGAGACACGGACCAGACUCCUACGGGAGGCAGCAGUGAGGAAUAUUGGACAAUGGGUGAGAGCCUGAUCCAGCCAUCCCGCGUGAAGGAUGACGGUCCUAUGGAUUGUAAACUUCUUUUGUACAGGGAUAAACCUACUCUCGUGAGGGUAGCUGAAGGUACUGUACGAAUAAGCACCGGCUAACUCCGUG
rnacentral:rRNA from 1 species